GACAACGCUGGCGGCGUGCUUAACACAUGCAAGUCGAACGGAGAUAUAUAAAUAGUUUACUAUGAAUAUAUUUUAGUGGCGGACGGGUGAGUAACACGUGGGCAACCUGCCUUAGAGUGGGGGAUAACAACGAGAAAUCGUUGCUAAUACCGCAUGAAAUUAGAUUAUCGCAUGAUAGUUUAAUGAAAGGAGAAAUCCGCUAAAAGAUGGGCCCGCGCCUGAUUAGCUAGUUGGUGAGGUAAAAGCUCACCAAGGCGACGAUCAGUAGCCGAUCUGAGAGGAUGACCGGCCACACUGGAACUGAGACACGGUCCAGACUCCUACGGGAGGCAGCAGUGGGGAAUAUUGCACAAUGGGGGAAACCCUGAUGCAGCAACGCCGCGUGGAGGAAGAAGGUUUUCGGAUUGUAAACUCCUGUCUUUUGGGACGAUAAUGACGGUACCAAAAGAGGAAGCCACGGCUAACUACGUG
rnacentral:rRNA from 1 species